rnacentral:rRNA from 1 species
GACGAACGCUGGCGGCGUGCUUAACACAUGCAAGUCGAACGGAAAGGCCCUGCUUUUGUGGGGUGCUCGAGUGGCGAACGGGUGAGUAACACGUGAGUAACCUGCCCUUGACUUUGGGAUAACUUCAGGAAACUGGGGCUAAUACCGGAUAGGAGCUCCUGCUGCAUGGUGGGGGUUGGAAAGUUUCGGCGGUUGGGGAUGGACUCGCGGCUUAUCAGCUUGUUGGUGGGGUAGUGGCUUACCAAGGCUUUGACGGGUAGCCGGCCUGAGAGGGUGACCGGGCACAUUGGGACUGAGAGACGGCCCAGACUCCUACGGGAGGCAGCAGUGGGGAAUAUUGCACAAUGGGCGGAAGCCUGAUGCAGCAACGCCGCGUGCGGGAUGACGGCCUUCGGGUUGUAAACUGCUUUCGCCUGUGACGAAGCGUGAGUGACGGUAAUGGGUAAAGAAGCACCGGCUAACUACGUG